UCCCGGACCUCUACAGAAACCGAGCUCCGGCCGCUGCCGAGCUUCAAUCGACAGAUCCGCGCCCCCUGACAGGCCAUCAAAACGGCCACGACCCUACUCCACUUCCUGUGGCGGAUUUCGCACAGCUCCACUAUCCCCUGGCAGGCCACAAUAACGGCCACGAACCUGCUCCACCUCCUGCGACGGAUACCAUGCGAUUCUCCUAUCCGCUGGCAAGUCACGAC
rnacentral:lncRNA from 1 species